CCCUGCCCCUCCGCCCCGCCAGCCUGCGGCCAGCGUUCUGAGUGUAUUCCUUCAAAGGAGUUUCCACUGGCUCUGCCCUGGGAAUCAGGCGCGGUCGUUGCUGAGGACGCUAUUUCCCGGUAGAGUAUUCACUGACCUCUCCUCCCAGUCUUCAAUCCGGAAACAAAUUUGGGAAAAGCCCAGCAACAUUCGCAUCCCUGCCGCUUCUGACACAGCCGCAGGGGUCCUGCCGUCCUGACCUUUGUUUGGUCUUCCAGGAAGCUGAAGCUGGCCUCAGUGAACUCAUUCACGAGCAACCUGGUGAGGAUUCCGUGCACUGCCCAAGGACGCCAGGCUGCUGCCCUUGGUCACCAUCUUCCAAUAUGAAUGAUCCUAGUCUUCCAAAAGGACCCUUUAUGAGUUUGAGAAAAAACACUCAUCGUGAUUUGGGGAAUUAACGCCGGGGGUUAACUGCAUCACUGACAAUGAAAUUGAAUUCAAGCUGC